CAGUAGCCGCGGUAAUACGUAGGUGGCAAGCGUUGUCCGGAUUUAUUGGGCGUAAAGCGAGCGCAGGCGGUCAAUUAAGUCUGAUGUGAAAGCCCCCGGCUCAACCGGGGAGGGUCAUUGGAAACUGGUUGACUUGAGUGCAGAAGAGGAGAGUGGAAUUCCAUGUGUAGCGGUGAAAUGCGUAGAUAUAUGGAGGAACACCAGUGGCGAAGGCGACUCUCUGGUCUGUAACUGACGCUGAGGCUCGAAAGCGUGGGUAGCAAACAGGAUUAGAUACCCCUGUAGUCCCUGUCUCUUAUAC
rnacentral:rRNA from 1 species